GGAAGGGCGCUGGCCGUGCCGUUGCCGUGGCGCCGCGGCACGGCGCUGAUCCCGUUCCCGCUCCCAUCCAUCCUCGCCACCGCCGGUCGCUACGGACCCGUUAGAGCCCGCGGCAUAACGGCACAGCCCGCGCGGCGCGGCCCGGCCCGCCGGCAUGCCAGAAUGCGGCGGCACCGCGGCGGGGGGUGGCACAGCCCGGUACAGCCCCGGCACUCGGGAGCUGCUUAGAGGUAACGGCGGAGCGGGCUGCCCGUACCCCGCCGCACCGCCGGGACCCGGCCCAGCCUGCCCUCGCUGCGGGGAGGAGACCCCCCCACCCCGAAGUGCCACCGCGGCCGCCCGGAGGAGCAGGGUGGAACCCGGCAGGCCCGGCUUGAGUCUCCCAAACCUGCAUCUGCCCCUUCGGUUUGGGCUGCGAGGGGGCAGUGCCCCGGGGUGGGUUGCCCAGCCCCUGCCCGGGCUGCCAUCUUCACCCUAUGUCGUGUUUUUCAGCGAUGAUGGAGGAGUCGAAGCUGACGCAUUUGCAGAGGCGACACCUGAUGGAGUGUGUGAAACGUGAGUGGUGGCCCUCCCGCUGCCGUGCUGUGGUGAGGAGCUUCCGCAGCUCGCCUUGAGACAGGGGUGAAGGGUCCCCACGGUCAUCCGGGGAACGUGGUGCAAUGGAGGAGAUACCCUGCCCCUCCAGUGCUUCCCCACACCUAGCAAAGAGACAGCGCCUGCUUCCUCCCCACCAGCUCAUCAGCGGAGCAGGCUUUCUGCUAAACCCCAUCUCCGACCUGCCAGUGUCUGCCAGGCGGGAGAUUCCUACGUCCGAGAGAAAUUCAAGCCACGGGCAAGGCGAGAUUUGGAAAAGGAGAAGCAAAGGCUCCAAAACAUCUUGGCAACAGGGAAGGAUGUGGUGGAGCACAAGGUGAAGCCUGUGGUGGUUCAGACCAAGGAAGAGGAGAUCCCUGAGCCUGACCGGUUUGAAGAAUUGGUGAAUGAAAUUCAGGAGAGAAGGGAGUUCCUGGCAGAGAUGGAAGCUCUAGGACAGGGCAAGAAGUAUCGAAGGAUCAUCCUCACCGAAAUCUCACAGAAAAUGCGUGAGAUGGAGAUCCUUGACAAGAAGAGAAGUGAGGAAAUGAAAGAGAUCAUGACAAAAGACUUCCCUGGUGGGAACAAAUCUGAUGCCCAUGACUAGGCCAAGGGAAAAACACAAGUGCAAUUUGUUCCCACCUUUUCUUCCCAGACUCUUAGAAUCCAAGUCUCAAGGGCUGGUCUGUGCCUGUACCCACAGAGGGGGCAGCACCUCCUGCUGCCUAAAGCCAGAAGGCAGGAGCAAUUUGUACAUAACCAGUGCCAGAAGAAAGCUGUUGUAAAAUACUGCCCUCACACUGGAUCCCUUAUUGCUCAAUGACAUUAAAGAGAUGAAAACACACAACAGUGGCUACCAAA